AAUAUAUUAUGGGUUUGGAGUCUGAAAAAACUCAUAGAGCAAUGUGCUGUCUAUCAGCUUCUUCUUUCGUAGCAUUAACGAGAUUGGAGUUAAAUAACAGCACUAGAAUU